AUACGGAGGAUGCGAGCGUUAUCCGGAUUUAUUGGGUUUAAAGGGUGCGUAGGCUGUGCGUUAAGUCAGGGGUGAAAUGCCGUCGCUCAACGACGGAGCUGCCCUUGAUACUGGCGUGCUGGAGUACGGAUGCCGUUGGAGGAAUGAGUGGUGUAGCGGUGAAAUGCUUAGAUAUCACUCAGAACACCGAUUGCGAAGGCAUCUGACGAAUCCGUCACUGACGCUGAGGCACGAAAGCGUGGGGAUAGAACAGGAUUAGAUACCCUGGUAUUCCACGCCGUAAACGAUGAUGACUAACCGUCGGCGAUAGACAGCCGGUGGCCAAGCGAAAGCGAUAAGUCAUCCACCUGGGGAGUACGCCGGCAACGGUGAAACUUAAAGGAAUUGGCGGGG
rnacentral:rRNA from 1 species